GAAAAAAUUUCCGUACUUGUUAUAUCCAGAGAAUUUGGAAGAGAGGUUUUGGGGCUUUCGGAAUUUUUUGACACGGGUGCCCAGGCUCCAUCCCCAGCUUGUUUUGUGAAAUUUGGGUUUAACUCGCGCAGCGAGCGCAACCCUUAUCUUUUGUCCCAGCGGUACGGCCGGAAACUCAAAGGAGAAGGCCAGUGAUAACCGGGAGGAAGGUGGGGAUGAGGCAAGGCCAUCAUGGGUUUACGAGAAGGGUUCCCCCCCUGCUCCAAUGCCACUUCCAAAGGGAAGCGCGCUCGCGGGGGCAAUCAACCCCACAAA
rnacentral:rRNA from 1 species